AUACGGAGGGUGCAAGCGUUAAUCGGAUUUACUGGGCGUAAAGCGCGCGUAGGCGGUUUGGUAAGUCGGAUGUGAAAUCCCAGGGCUCAACCUUGGAACUGCAUUCGAUACUGCCUCACUAGAGUAUGGUAGAGGGAAGUGGAAUUCCGGGUGUAGCGGUGAAAUGCGUAGAUAUCCGGAGGAACAUCAGUGGCGAAGGCGACUUCCUGGCCCAAUACUGACGCUGAGGUGCGAAAGUGUGGGGAGCAAACAGGAUUAGAUACCCCAGUAGUCC
rnacentral:rRNA from 1 species